GGAUACGUGAGGAAACCAGCGACACCUGACUUUUAAUCAGAGGGUCCUGGGUUCGAGUCCCAGCGCGCUCACCA
rnacentral:tRNA from 1 species